rnacentral:rRNA from 1 species
AUUGAACGCUGGCGGCAUGCCUUACGCAUGCAAGUCGAACGGUAACAGGGAGCUUGCUCCGCUGACGAGUGGCGAACGGGUGAGUAAUGUAUCGGAACGUACCUUUUAGUGGGGGAUAACGUAGCGAAAGUUACGCUAAUACCGCAUAUUCUCUGAGGAGGAAAGCAGGGGACCUUCGGGCCUUGCGCUAAUAGAGCGGCUGAUAUCAGAUUAGCGAGUUGGUGAGGUAAAGGCUCACCAAGGCGACGAUCUGUAGCGGGUCUGAGAGGAUGAUCCGCCGCACUGGAACUGAGACACGGUCCAGACUCCUACGGGAGGCAGCAGUGGGGAAUUUUGGACAAUGGGGGCAACCCUGAUCCAGCCAUGCCGCGUGAGUGAAGAAGGCCUUCGGGUUGUAAAGCUCUUUCGGCCGGGAAAAAAUCGCAUGGGCUAAUACCCUGUGUGGAUGAUGGUACCGGAAUAAGAAGCACCGGCUAACUACGUGCCAGCAGCCGCCGUAA